rnacentral:rRNA from 1 species
GACAGAGGUGCCGAGCGUUAGGCGGAAUCACUGGGCUUAAAGCGUGUGUAGGCGGGUCGGUAAGUGUCUUGUGAAAUCCCACCGCUCAACGGUGGAACUGCUGGGCAUACUGGCGAUCUUGAGCCACCUAGGGGCAGACGGAACAAGCGGUGGAGCGGUGAAAUGCGUAGAUAUCAGGAGGAACACCGGUGGCGAAGGCGGGUCUCUGGGCAGUAACUGACGCUGAGGAGCGAAAGCGUGGGGAGCGAACAGG